GAUGAACGCUGGCGGCGUGCCUAAUACAUGCAAGUCGAGCGAAUGGAUUAAGAGCUUGCUCUUAUGAAGUUAGCGGCGGACGGGUGAGUAACACGUGGGUAACCUGCCCAUAAGACUGGGAUAACUCCGGGAAACCGGGGCUAAUACCGGAUAAUAUUUUGAACUGCAUGGUUCAAAAUUGAAAGGCGGCUUCGGCUGUCACUUAUGGAUGGACCCGCGUCGCAUUAGCUAGUUGGUGAGGUAACGGCUCACCAAGGCAACGAUGCGUAGCCGACAUGGGAGGGUGAUCGGCCACACUAGGACUGAGACACGGCCCAGACACCUACGGGAGGCAGCAGUAGGGAAUCUUCCGCAAUGGACGAAAGUCUGACGGAGCAACGCCGCGUGAGUGAUGAAGGCUUUCGGGUCGUAAAACUCUGUUGUUAGGGAAGAACAAGUGCUAGUUGAAUAAGCUGGCACCUUGACGGUACCUAACCAGAAAGCCACGGCUAACUACGUGCCAGCCGCCGCAGUAA
rnacentral:rRNA from 1 species